rnacentral:rRNA from 1 species
UACAGGGGGUGCAAACGUUGCUCGGAAUCAUUGGGCGUAAAGCGCACGUAGGCGGUCUGUUAUGUCGGAUGUGAAAGCCCUUGGCUUAACUGAGGAAGUGCAUCCGAAACUGGCAGGCUAGAGUACUAAAGAGGGUCGCGGAAUUCCCGGUGUAGAGGUGAAAUUCGUAGAUAUCGGGUGGAACACCAGUGGCGAAGGCGGCAUGCUGGCGCAUUCCUGACAUUGAGGCGCGAGAGCGUGGGGAGCAAACGGG